UACGUAGGGUGCAAGCGUUGUCCGGAAUUAUUGGGCGUAAAGAGCGUGUAGGCGGCCCGAUUAGUCCGCUGUGAAAGUCCAGGGCUCAACCCUGGAAUGCCGGUGGAUACUGUCGGGCUAGAGUCCGGAAGGGGCGAGUGGAAUUCCUGGUGUAGCGGUGAAAUGCGCAGAUAUCAGGAGGAACACCAAUGGCGAAGGCAGCUCGCUGGGACGUGACUGACGCUGAGACGCGAAAGUGUGGGGAGCGAACAGG
rnacentral:rRNA from 1 species